UAGCUUCGGUGAUACAUCAUCUAGAUCACAAAAAUGUUAUGAACGACUCCCAACUUAAGACCAGUGUUGUCCAAGUCGCCACAUCUUUGGCUAUGCAAAGUAGAUCAGGGAAAGGGUUGGCAGAGAUUGGUUUCGUUGGUGACCUUUGCAGGCAUCUCAGGAAAAGCCUUCAAGCCUCCAAUGAAUUGGUUGAAGAGCAAGAGUUGAACUUGAAUAUCUUGCUCCAAAAUUCCAUUGAGGACUGCAUACUUGAAAUUGCCAAGGGGGUAGGAUUAUGCAUGCCUUCUUUCAUCCACAAAAUCACCGCGUUCUGUUCGACUACUAAACUACUUAUUUUUCUUUGUUGUCAUGCCACUUUAGAUAACUAUGAGCGAGGCAGACAUAGUGAAGAUGCUGAUUUCGAGGCAGAACCACAUCAUAAUUGGGUGGAUGAGGUUGUCCGCUGUGAGGGCCGGGCUAAUUCAAUUGCUGGUACUGAAAUUAGCUCUUCUUGCCUGACCAUCCAGCCACGACCAGAAAUAAAGGAUCCUACCCUUUUGACUAGGUAUUGGUUAUUCAAGAGCUUAUGAAAAAAGUUUCAGGCCAUUUGUUGAAUGUGGUCUUUUACAUAGCUUUUAAUCACUUUUUGGUUCCUUUCAUGAUCUUCUUUAAUCAUAGGGAUGAAAUUGAAAAACCAGAAAUAUGGGCUCAGAUAUGUGUUCAAAGAGUGGCUGAAUUAGCAAAAGAAAGCACAACUAUGCGUCGUGUUCUGGAUCCAAUGUUUGUCUACUUUGAUUCCAGGCAACAUUGGGAUCCUAAGAAAGGGUUAGCAAUGAUGGUGUUAUCCAGCAUGACCUACUUCAUGGAAAACUCAGGUGUUGUUCUAUUCCACUCCUGGCUCAAUUAGUUUUCCGAAAUAAUUCAGUGGAUGCAAUUGACAUAUUCCAGGUUGUGCUUUUAAGGAUGUGAGAAGUGUAUGAUUUUAAACAAGCUAUGUGUAAUGCUAUAUGAAGUUUUUUUCUUAAGAUUUUUUAUCUUGUUCCAUAAUGAUAUUUUCUUUCUUUUGACCUCUUUUCUACAGGGAAUCAGCGGUUUAUUAUAGCUUCGGUGAUACAUCAUCUAGAUCACAAAAAUGUUAUGAACGACUCCCAACUUAAGACCAGUGUUGUCCAAGUCGCCACAUCUUUGGCUAUGCAAAGUAGAUCAGGGAAAGGGUUGGCAGAGAUUGGUUUCGUUGGUGACCUUUGCAGGCAUCUCAGGAAAAGCCUUCAAGCCUCCAAUGAAUUGGUUGAAGAGCAAGAGUUGAACUUGAAUAUCUUGCUCCAAAAUUCCAUUGAGGACUGCAUACUUGAAAUUGCCAA
rnacentral:lncRNA from 1 species